rnacentral:rRNA from 1 species
UGGGGAAUUUUGGACAAUGGGCGAAAGCCUGAUCCAGCAAUGCCGCGUGUGUGAAGAAGGCCUUCGGGUUGUAAAGCACUUUUGUCCGGAAAGAAAUCCUUGGCUCUAAUACAGUCGGGGGAUGACGGUACCGGAAGAAUAAGCACCGGCUAACUACGUGCCAGCAGCCGCGGUAAUACGUAGGGUGCAAGCGUUAAUCGGAAUUACUGGGCGUAAAGCGUGCGCAGGCGGUUUGCUAAGACCGAUGUGAAAUCCCCGGGCUCAGCCUGGGAACUGCAUUGGUGACUGGCAGGCUAGAGUAUGGCAGAGGGGGGUAGAAUUCCACGUGUAGCAGUGAAAUGCGUAGAGAUGUGGAGGAAUACCGAUGGCGAAGGCAGCCCCCUGGGCCAAUACUGACGCUCAUGCACGAAAGCGUGGGGGAGCAAACAGGAUUCAGAUACCCUGGUAGUCCAGCGCCCUAAACGAUGUCAACUAGUUGUUGGGGACUUCAUUUCCUUAGUAACGUAGCUAACGCGUGAAGUUGACCGCCUGGGGAGUACGGUCGCAAGAUUAAAACUCAAAUGAAUUGACGGGGUCAUA